UACGUAGGUGGCAAGCGUUGUCCGGAUUUACUGGGCGUAAAGCGCACGUAGGCGGAUCUUUAAGUCAGAGGUGAAAUCCCAAGGCUCAACCUUGGAACUGCCUUUGAUACUGGGGAUCUCGAGUUCGGGAGAGGUGAGUGGAACUGCGAGUGUAGAGGUGAAAUUCGUAGAUAUUCGCAAGAACACCAGUGGCGAAGGCGGCUCACUGGCCCGAUACUGACGCUGAGGCACGAAAGCGUGGGGAGCAAACAGG
rnacentral:rRNA from 1 species